UUACAGAACAUUAAAACGCUUUCAAAAUUCAAAAUGAAAAGGGGUUUAAAAAGAAUGGGCACAAUCGUAUGUCAAACUUGCAAUUCUACCAUUGACCAUUUCGAAGAUGAGAAAGUAACGGUGUUAUAUUCAAAAAAAUGUAACUGCUGUGAUCAGGAAGACGCACAAGAAAGAUAAAAUCAAUCAAAAGGCAUGCAAGAUGCAUGCCUUUGU
rnacentral:sRNA from 1 species